AUUGAACGCUGGCGGCAGGCCUAACACAUGCAAGUCGAACGGUAACAGGAAGAAGCUUGCUUCUUUGCUGACGAGUGGCGGACGGGUGAGUAAUGUCUGGGAAACUGCCUGAUGGAGGGGGAUAACUACUGGAAACGGUAGCUAAUACCGCAUAACGUCGCAAGACCAAAGAGGGGGACCUUCGGGCCUCUUGCCAUCGGAUGUGCCCAGAUGGGAUUAGCUAGUAGGUGGGGUAACGGCUCACCUAGGCGACGAUCCCUAGCUGGUCUGAGAGGAUGACCAGCCACACUGGAACUGAGACACGGUCCAGACUCCUACGGGAGGCAGCAGUGGGGAAUAUUGCACAAUGGGCGCAAGCCUGAUGCAGCCAUGCCGCGUGUAUGAAGAAGGCCUUCGGGUUGUAAAGUACUUUCAGCGGGGAGGAAGGGAGUAAAGCUAAUACCUUUGCUCAUUGACGUUACCCGCAGAAGAAGCACCGGCUAACUCCGUG
rnacentral:rRNA from 1 species